AGACGCAAAACAUGCCGUUGACCCCAAAUUCGUCCGGCGCUCCUUGGCUUGCUUGCUAUAUAAAAGACGAUCAACCCUACUAACUAUACAAGCAUGUGUAAGUGGCUCUUUCUAAUUCGAUUCAAUUUGGAAGGCUUAUGUUCUCUGGGUAUUUUAUGUUGUCGUUAGCACCACUGUCCAUGGUGGUUGUUUCAGAUUCAUUGGGUCAUUUAUGGUUCACUAGAAUGGAUUGUGUUGGAAAUAAAGGUCCUCAUGUAUUUGGUUUCGGAAUUGGUGAGGCAGGGAGAGCAAAUGGAGGAUCUAUCUCAGCUGCGGUGUUGUUCCGAAAAGGGAACAAAUUGACAUCUUGGUCAUGUUUUGAUCAUAAGAAAAGUUGCAUAAUUGGGUGGAGAGAUAAGGACUUGCUGAUUCGGUUUAAAGAAGGGAUGUUUUAUGGUCCUUGUGCCAAACUCCUCCUUUGCUAAAAGGGGAGAACUGGAUGUUGGAGAAGCUUGGAUCAUGAUUGAUUCCCACGUAUUAUGUCAGAGAGUUGAUGGAUUGGAGGAGAAGGGAAGGAAUUGUCUCAGACUCCUUUGAAAUUAAGCUCUCUGUUCAUGUGAAUGAAGAAUAGAGUGGUUGUUGGCGUUAGUCAGAGUGCAUGAAGCCAAUAUGCCAGACUUCCCAAGUUCAAAAAUAGAGGAGCUCCAGUUACCCGGAAUGUGAUCAAUGGUGGUGUUGGCCUAAGAAAACAAAUGGAUAUCAAGUCGGCGAUAUUCCAGGUAGGGGAUUUUGGACUUGCCUCAGUUAGUGUUUUAUGCAUAUGAUAUUAAAGUAAAGUGAUUUAUGCAUGAAAGAUAUAUUUUCGAAUUCUUGUGAAUUAUUGUUUGAUGACCUGAGAGUGAGAGGGGCAUAGCGACUUCCUUGGGUUUCGAUCCCCUAAACCUCCGGAGGGGCCUUUAUGGACGGAAGAGUGUCUUACAUCCCUUGUGGAGUGGCACUACUUCUAGGCCAUAGGGCGUUUGUGGACACUCUCGCUACACUUACCUGUUGUACACAUAUAUAGUGAGGUAAGUUGGGUAGUGGGUCUAAAAAGGACCGGCCAUCAGGUACAGUUUUAUGGCGUCGCAUGUAUUUGAUUAUAGAAAUGUUUUUGAAAGUUUGUCGUUCAUUAAAUAUUUGGAUUCAAUCUUGUUUUUAUACUGGGCCCUAUGAAACUAUUUCUUUAUCUAUUUUCAAGAGUUCCUUGAGCAGCGAGGACGAAAGCUCACCCCUACAACAGUUUAUGAAUGCAGGUACUGCGUACGGGGACGGGACAGCUAGACGGCAUUGGGUGUAGCUUAGAAAUUCUAUACUUUAUGAUAUUGUCAGCAUUAAAUCCGUAUGACAGGUUUCCUUAGUUAUCGUGUUCUUGUUUAACCCUUUG